rnacentral:rRNA from 1 species
GAUGAACGCUGGCGGCGUGCCUAAUACAUGCAAGUCGAGCGAACAGGCGAGGAGCUUGCUCCUCUGACGUUAGCGGCGGACGGGUGAGUAACACGUGGAUAACCUACCUAUAAGACUGGGAUAACUUCGGGAAACCGGAGCUAAUACCGGAUAAUAUAUUGAACCGCAUGGUUCAAUAGUGAAAGACGGUUUUGCUGUCACUUAUAGAUGGAUCCGCGCCGCUUUAGCUAGUUGGUAAGGUAACGGCUUACCAAGGCGACGAUGCGUAGCCGACCGGAGAGAGGGAUCGGCCACACUAGAACUGAAACACGGUCCAGACUACUACGGGAGGCAGCAGUAGGGAAUCUUCCGCAAUGGGCGGAAGCCUGACGGAGCAACGCCGCGUGAGUGAUGAAGGUCUUCGGAUCGUAAAGCUCUGUUAUUAGGGAAGAACAAAUGUGUAAGUAAAUAUGCACGUCUUGACGGUACCUAAUCAGAAAGCCACGGCUAACUACGUG